GGUUUGAUCAUGGCUCCAGGGUCAGACGCUGGCGGGAUGCUUUACGCAUGCAAGUCAGGCAGCGGCACGGACUUCAGUCUGGUGGCGAGUGGCGAACAGGUGGUAUCGGAGCGGUACCUGGUAACGGGGGAUAACUACGCGGCAGCUAAUACCACGCGCGCUCGCAAAGGGGAAAGCGGGGGACCUUCCGGGCACUCGCACUAUUGAAGCGGCCGAUAUCGGAUUAGCUAGUUGGUGGUGGGGUAACGGCUCGCAGGCGACGAUCCGUAGCUGGUUUGAGAGGACGACCAGCCACACUGGGACUGAGACACGGCCAGGCUCUCCGGAGCAGCAGUGGUACACCUGGACAAUGGGGGAAACCCUGAUGCAGCCAUCCCGCGUGUGCGAUGAAGGCCUUCGGGUUGUAAAGCACUUUUGGCAGGAAAACAUAUGCGGAUAAUACCCCGCGCAACUGAAAUGAACACCUGCGGGCAAGCGCGGCUGUACGUGCCAGCGGCCGCGAUACGUACGUAGGGUGGCGUUAAUCGGAAUUACUGGGCAUGCCGUCAUUGCGCAGGCGGUUCGGAAAGAAAGAUGUGAAAUCCCGGAGGCUUAACUUUGGAACUGCAUUUUAACUUCACCGGAAAAGCUACAGAGUGUGUGUCAGGGUAGAUUCCGCGUGUAGCAGUGAAAUGCGUGAAUAUGCGGAAGAACACGGCUGGCGGCAGCCUCCUGGGAUAGCACUGACGCUCAUGCGAAAGCGUGGGGAACAACAGGAUUGAAUACCUAGUGAUCACCGCCCUAAACGAUCAACUAGCUGUUGGAGCCUUCUGGGCAGCGGUAGCGCAACUAACGCGUGAAGUUGACCGCCUGGGGAGUACGAUGCACCAGAUUAAAACUCAAGGAAUUGACGGGGGAUAUUGCACAAGCGUGGCUGAUGUGGAUGCAAUUCGAUGCAACGCGAAAAACCUGCCCUCUUAUGCAGGCUGCUCUGGAAUCCGAAGAGAUUUGGGAGUGCUCGCGAAGACGGAACACAGGUGCUGUGAAACAUCGUCAGCUGUGUCGUCGAGGUGUUGGUUGAUCCGCAACGAGCGCAACCCUUGUCAUUAGUUGCUACGAGGGCACUGUGGAACUGCCGGUGACAAACCGGAGGAAGGUGAGGAUGACGCCAAAGUCUCUGCUGUGCCGCAGUGGGCGCUACCCACGUCAUCCCGCAAUGGUCGGGACAGAGGGUCGCCAACCCGCAGGGGGAGCCAAUCCCGAAGCCGAUCGUAGUCGGAUCGCAGUCUGCAGCUUCUCGACUGCAUUGAAGUCAGAAUCAUGUCGCGGAUCGGCAUGUCGCGGUGAAUACGUUCCCGGGUCUUGUACACACCGCCCGUCACACAUGGGGUGGGUUUGAAAUGCAGUUAGCCCUAGCAUGAAAGCAGCCAAAGGAGGGCGAUUACCACGGUAGGAUUCUUAUUGCGGGGUGAGUCGUAACAAGGUAG
rnacentral:rRNA from 1 species